rnacentral:rRNA from 1 species
UGGCGGACGGGGUGAGUAACGCGUAGGGGAUCUAUCUUCCGGUGGGGGGACAACCGUGGGAAACUACGGCUAAUACCGCAUGACAACCGAGGUUCAAAGGCGUCUGGGGCAACCUGGGGGGCUGCCGGGGGCGGAGCCUGCGUACGAUUAGCUAGUUGGUGGGGUAAUGGCCUACCAAGGCGACGAUCGUUAGCUGGUCUGAGAGGAUGAUCAGCCACAUUGGGACUGAGACACGGCCCAA